GGGCUGGUAGCUCAGUUGGAAGAGUGCUGCCUUGGCAUGGCAGAAGCCCCGGGUUCAAAUCCCGGCCAGUCCA
rnacentral:tRNA from 1 species